rnacentral:tRNA from 1 species
GUCGCGGUGGCUGAGUGGUUAAGCGCUUGGCUUCCGAACCUGGAGUCCUGGGUUCGAAUCUCUGCGAAGACU